GGUGUCUGCCCUCAUGUUGUGUGUGUCUGUGUGUGCAGAUGCUGCGAGCAACAGGGAGCAAGCCAGAGAGGCCGAUGGAGGAAAAGUCAGAGACAAAGAGAUGUUGCUGCCAAAUCCCUUUCAUCUCCAGCAGAGAGAGAGAGAGUCUGAAACUCCACGGUGAGGAACUGAGACCCAGAGAGUGAAAGUCACUGGACCCUGGGCACACAGAGUCAAAAUGCACUGUCUAUUCUGCCAGGCCUUUGGUCCAGC
rnacentral:lncRNA from 10 species